GACGAACGCUGGCGGCGUGCUUAACACAUGCAAGUCGAACGGGCCUGUCUUCUUUUUUGGGGGUGGGUUGAGUGGCGAACGGGUGAGUAUCACGUGAGUAACCUGCCCUUCGGUCCUGGAUAACCGCUUGAAAGGGCGGCUAAUACGGGGUGGUCCGGUUGGUCCGCAUGGGCUGGUCGGGAUAGAUUCACUGUUUUUGGUGUUUCGGCGGGGGAUGGGCUCGCGGCCUAUCAGCUCGUUGGUGGGGUGAUGGCCUACCAAGGCGGUGACGGGUAGCCGGCCUGGGAGGGUGGGCGGCCACACUGGGACUGAGAUACGGCCCAGACUCCUGCGGGAGGCAGCAGUGGGGGGUAUUGCACAAUGGGCGGAAGCCUGAUGCAGCGACGUCGCGUGAGGGAUGGAGGCCUUCGGGUUGUGAACCUCUGUUUCCGGUGGUGAAGGCCCUGUCCGUGUGGUGGGGUUGACGGUAGCCGGGGAUGAAGCGCCGGCUAACUACGUG
rnacentral:rRNA from 1 species